rnacentral:lncRNA from 1 species
CUCAAACCCAGUCUGCUCCCUCACUUACCCUACCAGUCUGGUCUUGUAGGCAUAUAGGUUUGCAAUCCAAAGACCAGCUCUGAUGUUUAUUUGAUCAUUUGUUUAUUAUUAUUUUUUAUUUGAUCAACAUCUAUUCAGUGCUUACUUACUUGCCUUUCUAUGUACUGUAUUUAUAGCCUAAAUAUAAAGUUUUCUUUUUAUAUGAUAGCAUUCUGCCUUCAUUCCCCUGAGCCUGAUUAAUUUCCAGUGUUCCUAAAGUGUUCUUUCUUCUUCUUAUCCACCUAGGUGACUUCAGUUUGCUAAGCAGCAGCUUCUCCUGGCAUGAGCCACUGCAGAUCUCCUCAUCAGACGGGCUGAGACUAUCCUGUGUGCCCUGCACUUGGAGUAAGGAGAACACAGCAAGGUUGGUCCAACAGCCUUCCUGGAGUAUGACUCAGAAAAAGAAGGACCACAGCACCACACUGGCAAGAGGUAACUUGAACCAUAAUUUUACCUUUCCCACCAUCACCUCUAUGAUGUGGGCCGGUAACUUAAUCUCUCUAAACAAACUGUUUCCUGGCACCUGAAGUGAAGAGUUAUUUCGAAAUGCCUUUUAAAUACUGAUUGAGUUUGACAGCGAAGCACAACUGUGAGCGGAGGGCAAGGUGACAGCUCUGAACUAAUUCUCUACGAGAUAAUUUGCCGAAAGUAAAUUCAACACAGUGCACAUUCACCACAUUCCUUUCUUCUUUUCAGUAUUUACAAAGUUUACAGCAGUGUGUACUGAAUGUGCUGGUUUUCGCCACUUUUGAAGAUUCCUGUAAGGAUUUAGCUGAGAGUUUUCCAAUCGCUAACAGCAUUUGAAAGAACACCCCGUUUGUCUUUGUCUUGGCCCCCACCCACCAUUGUACAGAGG